rnacentral:rRNA from 1 species
GAUGAACGCUGGCGGCGUGCCUAAUACAUGCAAGUCGAGCGAACGGACGAGAAGCUUGCUUCUCUGAUGUUAGCGGCGGACGGGUGAGUAACACGUGGAUAACCUACCUAUAAGACUGGGAUAACUUCGGGAAACCGGAGCUAAUACCGGAUAAUAUUUUGAACCGCAUGGUUCAAAAGUGAAAGACGGUCUUGCUGUCGCUUAUAGAUGGAUCCGCGCUGCAUUAGCUAGUUGGUAAGGUAACGGCUUACCAAGGCAACGAUGCAUAGCCGACCUGAGAGGGUGAUCGGCCACACUGGAACUGAGACACGGUCCAGACUCCUACGGGAGGCAGCAGUAGGGAAUCUUCCGCAAUGGGCGAAAGCCUGACGGAGCAACGCCGCGUGAGUGAUGAAGGUCUUCGGAUCGUAAAACUCUGUUAUUAGGGAAGAACAUAUGUGUAAGUAACUGUGCACAUCUUGACGGUACCUAAUCAGAAAGCCACGGCUAACUACGUG